rnacentral:rRNA from 1 species
AUUGAACGCUGGCGGCAGGCUUAACACAUGCAAGUCGAGCGGGGUGAUGGUGCUUGCACUAUCACUUAGCGGCGGACGGGUGAGUAAUGCUUAGGAAUCUGCCUAUUAGUGGGGGACAACAUCUCGAAAGGGAUGCUAAUACCGCAUACGUCCUACGGGAGAAAGCAGGGGAUCACUUGUGACCUUGCGCUAAUAGAUGAGCCUAAGUCGGAUUAGCUAGUUGGUGGGGUAAAGGCCUACCAAGGCGACGAUCUGUAGCGGGUCUGAGAGGAUGAUCCGGCACACUGGGACUGAGACACGGCCCAGAGUCCUACGGGAGGCAGCAGUGGGGAAUAUUGGGCAAUGGGGUGAACCCUGAUCCAGCCAUGCCGCGUGUGUGAAGAAGGCCUUAUGGUUGUAAAGCACUUUAAGCGAGGAGGAGGCUCUUUUGGUUAAUACCCAAGAUGAGUGGACGUUACUCGCAGAAUAAGCACCGGCUAACUCUGUGCCAGCCGCCGCGGUAA